UGAUACCGCACAACUACAAAAACAACUUUAUAACUGCUUUAUAUUAUAAAGUGCUACCACAACAUCGACUAUGGGCCUACAAUCAAUUUCACAACCCACGUUUUCUUCUUACAUUUGAUAAGUCCACCAGAUCUUCUGUGUAUUUUGAGUGUAACAUGUAGUCUUUGAAAUAAGAAAUAAGACAUUGAAUUGUCUUUAUUAGUAUAAACGUCAUGGUUUUAAACCUUUUUAUCAAAUAUGGACAUUUAUCCACCCGCUUCGAAUGUUAUCACUCGAUUGAAUGGGCGUUAUCAGUGGUUAUCAGCUCAUAUAUAUGGGCCAGCAGGGGCCUGCUGCGCCUACUGGUAGGCUCAGAAGGCUGUUAUCAUCCAUCGACAUGGUUAAUCACCGACAAAUACAAGAGAAGACUCCAGAUCCAAUACCAGAGGAAUCCAGCUCGCCGGUAAUCGGAGGUCUACUGAAUGACGCAGCAACGUUGCAAUAUUUCGCGCUUGAUAUUUUCAGGUAAGAACAUUUAAAUGAUAAAACCGAGCAUUUUAACGGAAAUUAAUUAGUCAAUAAGGGAAAACAAUACAUAAAAUGUGUUUUAAUGUUGCGUGACAUGAGUGUUGACAUGAGAUAAGCGUAUUGCGAUUAUUUUGUAAACGUUAUAUAGGCUCAUUACGUUACUUACUUGCUUUAUUUGAGCAUUAACGUUGCUAAUAAGCAUGUUUUUACGUAUGAAGCUAAUGGGGAAAUUUAGUUUCUAGUUAAACGCAAAGUUAGCCUGUAAAAUUUUUUUUUUCCACACUGUAAGGCUUAUUGCAUAAUAUUGUAUGCUCGUUAACGCCCAUCAUAGGCCUAACCUUACUCCUGUUGACUUAUGAGUGAAAUAUUAAACCCAUGACGUAUUUUAUGGCUGUUUGGGUAUCUUGGGAUCUUGACUAGAAUGUAAAAUAAAGUUUUGUGGGUUUGAAAAAAGCUUGGAUGGAUUUGAUCCCACACGAGGUAGCUUACAAUGACAUUCAUGCAAAAGACGAAUAUUAGGAAUCUAUUAGAAGUAAAUAUAGACUGUGGUGUCUGUGUGUGUCACAUUUAUUGCUGUCCUUGACAUUGAACUUGAAAAAAAAAGUCUAUUUAUCUAUCUGCCUGCCUGUGUGUGUAACAUUAAUAUAUCUUUACCUAACUUUUUUGUCUCCCACAGCAUCAAUUUCCAGUGGAUUGAGGGACUUCUGUGGUUGAAGAUGGCCCAGAGAGAGAGAACUCCCAUUAAUGGGAAUCAAAAGGAAACCCUGAAAUCCUUUUUUACGCAUGGAAUGACACGAGUUGGGUCAAAAUUAAUUCCAAGUGCUGCAUCUGCUACUGGUUUGGACACCAGUGUCAUAGAAAACUGGAUCGGUAAUUACAAAAGAUCACAAAUUUCAAAACCUUUGUCUGAACCCCGUCAAUCAAAGGCAAAAGUUCAUGUCAGAGAGCUGUCGCCUUACAAUCUUUUUUGUAGGGACAUAUUCAAAAACAAAGGUUCUGCACCAUCACCUGAAACAGACAUUUCUACAGUCUGUAAUGGAGUGGUGUUACAGUGUGAGUCUGCAGGCUGGUAUCCAGAGCCUGAGGUGUUUUGGCUGGACGGUGAGGGAAACCUCCUCUCUGCUGGACCUACAGAGACAGUCAGAGGUCCUGAUGACCUCUAUACUGUCAGCAGCAGAGUGACUGUGGAGAAGAGACACAACAACAGC